AUCCUUCUGGUUCUUACAUAUGAUGAGUGGGGUUUCAUACUUGUGUGUGAAAUGUGCCAGCCCAAAUUGUUACGACUCGGCACAUGACCCAUCUGAUC